UGCAUAGGAAUCUACCUAGUAGUAUGGAAUAGCCAUUAGAAAUGAUGGGUAAUACUGUAUAAUCCCUGCGGGGGAAAGAUUUAUCGCUAUUAGAUGAGCCUACGUUAGAUUAGCUAGUUGGUAAGGUAAUGGCUUACCAAGGCUAUGAUCUAUAGCUGGUCUGAGAGGACGAUCAGCCACACUGGAACUGAGAUACGGUCCAGACUCCUACGGGAGGCAGCAGUGGGGAAUAUUGGACAAUGGGCGAAAGCCUGAUCCAGCUAUGCCGCGUGAGUGAAGAAGGCCUUCGGGUUGUAAAACUCUUUCAAUAGGGAAGAUAAUGACGGUACCUAUAGAAGAAGUCCCGGCAAACUCCGUGCCAGCAGCCGCGGUAAUACGGAGGGGGCAAGCGUUGUUCGGAAUUAUUGGGCGUAAAGGGCACGUAGGUGGACUAGUAAGUUAAAAGUGAAAUACCAAAGCUCAACUUUGGAGCUGCUUUUAAUACUGCUAGACUAGAGGUCGAAAGAGGAUAGCGGAAUUCCUAGUGUAGAGGUGAAAUUCGUAGAUAUUAGGAGGAACACCAGUGGCGAAGGCGGCUAUCUGGUUCGAUACUAA
rnacentral:rRNA from 1 species